rnacentral:rRNA from 1 species
GACGAACGCUGGCGGCGUGCCUAAUACAUGCAAGUCGAACGAAGCUGUUUUAACUGGUGCUUGCACCGACUUAAACAACUGAGUGGCGAACGGGUGAGUAACACGUGGGUAACCUGCCCCAAAGCGGGGGAUAACAUUUGGAAACAGAUGCUAAUACCGCAUAAUCACAGAAACCACAUGGUUUCUGUGUCAAAGAUGGUUUCGGCUAUCACUUUGGGAUGGACCCGCGGCGUAUUAGCUAGUUGGUAAGGUAAUGGCUUACCAAGGCAAUGAUACGUAGACGAACUGAGGGGUUGAUCGGCCACAUUGGGACUGAGACACGGCCCAAACUCCUACGGGAGGCAGCAGUAGGGAAUCUUCCACAAUGGACGAAAGUCUGAUGGAGCAACGCCGCGUGAGUGAAGAAGGGUUUCGGCUCGUAAAACUCUGUUGUUAAAGAAGAACGUAUCUAAGAGUAACUGCUUAGGUAGUGACGGUAUUUAACCAGAAAGCCACGGCUAACUACGUGCCAGCCGCCGCGGUAA